GAUGAACGCUGGCGGCGUGCCUAAUACAUGCAAGUCGAGCGAACAGACGAGGAGCUUGCUCCUCUGACGUUAGCGGCGGACGGGUGAGUAACACGUGGAUAACCUACCUAUAAGACUGGGAUAACUUCGGGACACCGGAGCUAAUACCGGAUAAUAUAUUGCACCGCAUGGUUCAAUGGUGAAAGACGGUUUUGCGGUCUCUUCUAGAGGGAUCCGCGCCGCAUUGUCUAGUUGGUAAGGUAACGGCUUACCAAGGCAACGAUGCGUAGCCGACCUGAGAGGGUGAUCGGCCACACUGGAACUGAGACACGGUCCAGACUCCUACGGGAGGCAGCAGUAGGGAAUCUUCCGCAAAGGGCGAAAGCUUGACGGAGCAACGCCGCGUGAGUGAUGAAGGUCUUCGGAUCGUAAAACUCUGUUAUUAGGGAAGAACAAAUGUGUAAGUAACUAUGCACGUCUUGACGGUACCUAAUCAGAAAGCCACGGCUAACUACGUG
rnacentral:rRNA from 1 species